rnacentral:piRNA from 1 species
UGCCCCUGUGUAUCCAAAUCGGUGUA